rnacentral:lncRNA from 1 species
GAAAAGUGAUUCUUCUGAAUCUUAGCUUUUCAGUAAUGAGAACUGGACUGUUUCCACUUGACCUCUAUUUCCUGUUAGUGGGAAACCGCUUCCCAGAGGUGCUGUGUGAAAGAUUGCUGGGGAAAGGGUUUCUAGAUCCCAGCAUAACAAGUUCAAGAGUCCAGCGAUAUUGUCAUUAGAAUAAUGGUCUUCAUUAAGUACUAGUUUUCAUAAUCCUGAAGCUUCAUUUUCACCAAUUUGAAAGGCAGCUAGGGAGGAGAAGACUAUGCAGGGAAGGAGGAAAACUCUGGAGUGCAUCACAGAGACCUUGAGUGAGUUAAGGCAGGGAAGAAGCAGAUUUGCUAUCCACUGAAUGAAAAUAAGAAGAAUUCCAUUGUCCAAGGUCAGAGCAAGAACACAAAGGUUUUAGUUUACUUAGUUAAUUCCUUAGGUUUGGACAUUACAGGAGACAUGGGGGUGACCAUAGCAAUUUAGCUGAUAAAUGUAUCAGAAACUCUUUCAUCAUUUUCUGUCCCCUCCUAUCUUAGGCUGACCGGUUCCCUGAUGUGUUACCUGCUUCUGCUACUGAUCCAAACUGCAGAACUUCUCAUUCAUCCCCAAGGCCUCCAGGCAGUAUCCAAUGGGGAAUCAGCUCUAAAAGGAACCAGACCAACGUUUUCCAGCCCCUUCAUUCUGUAGCUUCCCUCUGUGUGAGGAAAGGAUAGAAAUGUUCAGGACAUCAUCAUACAGGCUCCUCAUCUACAAAGUUCCAGUAGCAGUGACGCCUACACGGAAGACUUGGAACUGCAAACAGGCUGGGGUCACCUCAGUGACAUCUGACGCUGUCCAACCAGAAGUUCGAUUUUUGUUCUGGGGGUGAAGGAGGAAACAGACUGUACUAAAG